GCUGAUGUGGCGGAAUUGGUAGACGCAUUUGACUCAAAAUCAAACAAGUGAAGAACUUAUAUCGGUUCGAGUCCGAUCAUCAGUACCA
rnacentral:tRNA from 4 species